AUUGAACGCUAGCGGGAUGCUUUACACAUGCAAGUCGAACGGAGGGGCGGACGGGUGAGUAAUAUAUGGGAACGUGCCCAGUAGGGGGGGAUAACUACUAGAAAGAGUGGCUAAUACCGCAUACUAUUGGAGCGGCAGAUAUCGGAUUAGCUAGUUGGUGGGGUAACGGCUCACCAAGGCAACGAUCCGUAGCUGGUUUGAGAGGAAGACCAGCCACACUGGGACUGAGACACGGCCCAGACUCCUACGGGAGGCAGCAGUGGGGAAUUUUGGACAAUGGGGGAAACCCUGAUCCAGCCAUCCCGCGUGUAUGAUGAAGGCCUUCGGGUUGUAAAGUACUUUUGGCAGGGAAGCGGUAUCUGCAGAAUAAGCACCGGCUAACUCCGUGCCAGCAGCCGCGGUAAUUC
rnacentral:rRNA from 1 species